rnacentral:rRNA from 1 species
UACGGAAGGCAGCAGUGGGGAAUAUUGCACAAUGGGCGCAAGCCUGAUGCAGCCAUGCCGCGUGUAUGAAGAAGGCCUUCGGGUUGUAAAGUACUUUCAGUCGUGAGGAAGGUGUUAAGGUUAAUAACCUUAGCAAUUGACGUUAGCGACAGAAGAAGCACCGGCUAACUCCGUGCCAGCAGCCGCGGUAAUACGGAGGGUGCGAGCGUUAAUCGGAAUUACUGGGCGUAAAGGGCACGCAGGCGGUUAAUUAAGUUGGAUGUGAAAUCCCCGGGCUUAACCUGGGAAUGGCAUUCAAGACUGGUUAGCUAGAGUCUUGUAGAGGGGGUAGAAUUCCAUGUGUAGCGGUGAAAUGCGUAGAGAUGUGGAGGAAUACCGGUGGGCGAAGGCGGCCCCUGGGACAAAGGACUGACGCUCAUGUGCGAAAGCGUGGGGAGCAAACG